GACUGCCGGUGUCAAACCGGAGGGAGUGGGAUGACGUCAAGUCCUCAUGGCCUUUAUGACCAGGGCUACACACGUACUACAAUGGCAGGUCAAAGGGCAGCCACUUAGCCGAUAAGGCGCGAAUCCCAUAAAACCUGUCUCAGUCCGGAUUGGAGUCUGCAACUCGACUCCAUGAAGUUGGAAUCGCUAGUAAUCGCAGAUCAGCACGCUGCGGUGAAUACGUUCCCGGGCCUU
rnacentral:rRNA from 1 species